GUCUGUAUGUCAAAUGUGUUGCUGAUUGGUCAAUGAAUAAAUCACUGAUUGGCAGUGGCCAGGCAGGAAGUAUAGGCGGGACUAACAGAGAGGAAAAUUGAGAGAACAGGAAGCUGGGGAGGGAGACACUGCCAGCCGCCAUCAGGACAAGGAAGAUGUAAAGUGCCGAGCUCCUUCUGAAGACAGGACAAGAGCCUUGGGUGGAUGGAGAGCCAGAGCUGGGAAGUGCACCUCAGGAUUUGGACCCAGGUGGUCGGAGUAGCCGAGGGGCCUUUCUCAACAAGGACCUGCUCCAAGAUCUGCAUGGUGGCCAAGGGCCCAACUUGGACACCUGAGCAUUUCUUCCAAGUCCCGAUUCUAUUUAGAAGCUGGCUUGGGACAAGGGCAGGGCCUGCGGCCACUCUUAACAUGACCUUCGAUCUCCACAGUCUUCCUGGCCCCUGCUCAAGUGCAGAGAUAUAAUCUGCUUCUCUUAAGAGGUGAGAGCAUGCCAUCCUGAUCAUGGAAGCCCGUGCCACACAGGCUGGGCUUGAGACAGAUGCCUACAAAACAUGAGUAAGG